rnacentral:rRNA from 1 species
UACGAAGGGGGCGAGCGUUGUUCGGAAUUACUGGGCGUAAAGAGCUCGUAGGCGGCUUGUUACGUCGAAUGUGAAAUUUUAGGGCUCAACCCUGACAUUGCAUUCGAUACGGGCAGGCUAGAGUUCGGUAGGGGAGACUGGAAUUCCUGGUGUAGCGGUGAAAUGCGCAGAUAUCAGGAGGAACACCGGUGGCGAAGGCGGGUCUCUGGGCCGAUACUGACGCUGAUGCGCGAAAGCCAGGGGAGCGAACGGG